rnacentral:misc_RNA from 1 species
GAUGAAGAACGUAGCGAAAUGCGAUAAGUAAUGUGAAUUGCAGAAUUCAGUGAAUCAUCGAAUCUUUGAACGCACCUUGCGCUCCUUGGUAUUCCGAGGAGCAUGCCUGUUUGAGUGUCGUGAAAUUCUCAACCUCUCUGGUUUUUAUAAGCUAGUUAGGCUUGGAUUUUGGAGGUUGCUGGUUUCUCAGAAAUCAGCUCUUCUUAAAUAUAUUAGCAAAGUCUUUGCUGACCAUCUUUGGUAUGAUAAUUAUCUAUAUCAUUGAGAAUCAGCUUCCGUCUCGGAAGGAUUUUGCUUCUAAUGGUCUAUAUAGACAACUUGACAAUUUGACCUCAAAUCAGGUAGGAUUACCCGCUGAACUUAAGCAUAUCAAUAAGCGGAGGA